GGGCCCGUAGCCUAGCAGGAUAGGGCGUCGGCCUUCUAAGCCGGAGGUCGCGGGUUCGAAUCCCGCCGGGCCCGCCA
rnacentral:tRNA from 1 species